UGGAGGGCAAGUCUGGUGCCAGCAGCCGCGGUAAUUCCAGCUCCAAUAGCGUAUAUUAAAGUUGUUGCGGUUAAAAAGCUCGUAGUCGAAUUUGUGUCCCGCGCCGCCGGUUCAUCGCUCGCGGUGUUAACUGGCGAGUUCGCGGGACGUCCUGCCGGUGGGCUUUGCUCUUACGGGGGCGGCCCAAUCUCAAUCCCACCGCGGUGCUCUUCAUUGAGUGUCGAGGCGGGCCGGCACGUUUACUUUGAACAAAUUAGAGUGCUUAAAGCAGGCUAAAAUAUCGCCUGAAUACUGCGUGCAUGGAAUAAUGGAAUAGGACCUCGGUUCUAUUUUGUUGGUUUUCGGAACCCCGAGGUAAUGAUUAAUAGGAACGGAUGGGGGCAUUCGUAUUGCGACGUUAGAGGUGAAAUUCUUGGAUCGUCGCAAGACGAACAGAAGCGAAAGCAUUUGCCAAAAACGUUUUCAUUGAUCAAGAACGAAAGUUAGAGGUUCGAAGGCGAUCAGAUACCGCCCUAGUUCUAACCAUAAACGAUGCCAGCUAGCGAUCCGCCGACGUUCCUCCGAUGACUCGGCGGGCAGCUUCCGGGAAACCAAAGCUUUUGGGUUCCGGGGGAAGUAUGGUUGCAAAGCUGAAACUUAAAGGAAUUGACGGAAGGGCACCACCAGGAGUGGAGCCUGCGGCUUAAUUUGACUCAACACGGGAAACCUCACCAGGCCCGGACACCGGAAGGAUUGACAGAUUGAGAGCUCUUUCUUGAUUCGG
rnacentral:rRNA from 1 species